UACAGGGGGUGCAAACGUUGCUCGGAAUUAUUGGGCGUAAAGAGCGUGUAGGCGGCCUGACAGGUCUGCUGUGAAAACUCGAGGCUCAACCUCGAGAUGUCGGCGGAAACCGUCUGGCUAGAGUCCGGAAGAGGAGAGUGGAAUUCCUGGUGUAGCGGUGAAAUGCGCAGAUAUCAGGAAGAACACCUAUGGCGAAGGCAGCUCUCUGGGACGGUACUGACGCUGAGACGCGAAAGCGUGGGGAGCGAACAGG
rnacentral:rRNA from 1 species